rnacentral:pre_miRNA from 1 species
UUGGUUUGUCCUAAGUCAAACUUAUUCAAUUUUGACCAAAUUUAUAGAAAAAUAUAAAAAUAGCUAUAUUACCAAAUAUAUGUACUAUCAAAAUAUAUUCUAUGAUGGUUUCAAUGGAACAAAUUUGAUAUCAUAGAUAUUGUUAUAUUUUUCUAUAAGCUGUCAAACAUGGACAAAUUUGACUUAGGACAAACCAUA